rnacentral:misc_RNA from 1 species
AACGCACAUUGCGCCCGCCAGUAUUCUGGCGGGCAUGCCUGUCCGAGCGUCAUUUCAACCCUCGAGCCCCUUUGGGGGAUCGGUGUUGGGGACCGGGUGCUGCCCGUAGCAAUCUUGUUGCGGGCGGCGGCCGCCCCCUAAAUUCAGUGGCGGUCCCGCCGCAGCCUCUCCGUGCGUAGUAGCAUUUGCUCACGCUUCGCAAGGGAGAGAGCGGCGUGGCUAUGCCGUAAAACAACCCAACUUUCUGAAAUGUUGACCUCGGAUCAGGUAGGACUACCCGCUGAACUUAA